rnacentral:rRNA from 1 species
GGAUUAGAUACCCUGGUAGUCCACGCCGUAAACGAUGAUAACUAGCUGCUAGGGCCCACAGGGCUUUGGUGGCGCAGCUAACGCAUUAAGUUAUCCGCCUGGGGAGUACGGUCGCAAGAUUAAAACUCAAAGGAAUUGACGGGGGCCUGCACAAGCGGUGGAGCAUGUGGUUUAAUUCGACGCAACGCGCAGAACCUUACCAGCGUUUGACAUCCUGGUCGCGGAUUUCAGAGAUGAAUUCCUUCAGUUCGGCUGGACCAGUGACAGGUGCUGCAUGGCUGUCGUCAGCUCGUGCCG